AUUAGGGGUUAUAUCGCCCAUUCCCCCGUCGGCUUAAAAUACGAAUAAAAACCCGAGUACAAUAACGUCGAAACGCGUAUAUUUCAGCCAAGUUACGGCGGAAAACCCGACGUAUCGAUUGGAAAUCGUCGUUUUUCAGGUUCCGGAUUUUAAAUCACCAGUUUCCGCAGUCGGUUUGGACGGAGAAGGCGAAUUCGUGAUUUGUUCGCGAUUCUUAUUCGCUACAUCCCACCUUCCCUGCCCAUCCCUUUGAUAAUUCCUGGGCACGCCGCCGACUGUUAAAUGCCCGCACAAUGCACGUUUAAACAUGCACCAUUUUACGCCUGCGUUUGUGUUUAUCGUAUAAACGUAAGUAUUAAACGGGAACCGAUUCGACAUGACCGGACGCGUGAGCUCGGUAACCAACAGUUCGAAUACGUCCCUAUCCCUUACCCCUAUCGCAAAAACAUUGUGUUCGAAUAUCGACAGACGAAAAAAAUUUGGUUUUUAUACGAUUUUUGAUUUGUAUAAAUGUUGUUUUUUUUUUUUUUUUUUUUUUUUUUUUGCCAUACGAAUAACGACGACGACGAUAACGAAAAUCGUGUACGACAACAACUUGAUCGAAAUUACACCGGGCUAUUGCAUGCCUCCAUACGCAUACUUGGCGUUGUCGAAUCGAAAUUAAAACGGCAGCGUACCGGUACAGUCGUGUUGAUAUCGGCCGCGAAUUAUGAUGAAAUAUGGUCCGCGGUUGUCGCACGGCCAUACGCGGCUGUCAUUAAUUACUGUUAACUUCAUAUUUCGCCGACCGUUCUCGAAAUUAU